UACGGGAGGCAGCAGUGGGGAAUAUUGCACAAUGGGCGCAAGCCUGAUGCAGCCAUGCCGCGUGUAUGAAGAAGGCCUUCGGGUUGUAAAGUACUUUCAUCGUGAGGAAGGUGUUAAGGUUAAUAACCUUAGCAAUUGACGUUAGCGACAGAAGAAGCACCGGCUAACUCCGUGCCAGCAGCCGCGGUAAUACGGAGGGUGCGAGCGUUAAUCGGAAUUACUGGGCGUAAAGGGCACGCAGGCGGUUAAUUAAGUUGGAUGUGAAAUCCCCGGGCUUAACCUGGGAAUGGCAUUCAAGACUGGUUAGCUAGAGUCUUGUAGAGGGGGUAGAAUUCCAUGUGUAGCGGUGAAAUGCGUAGAGAUGUGGAGGAAUACCGGUGGCGAAGGCGGCCCCUGGACAAAGACUGACGCUCAUGUGCGAAAGCGUGGGGAGCAAACAGGGAUUAGAUACC
rnacentral:rRNA from 1 species